UACGUAGGGCGCAAGCGUUGUCCGGAAUUAUUGGGCGUAAAGAGCUCGUAGGCGGUUUGUCGCGUCUGCUGUGAAAACUCGAGGCUCAACCUCGGGCUUGCAGUGGAUACGGGCAGGCUGGAGUUCGGUAGGGGAGACUGGAAUUCCUGGUGUAGCGGUGAAAUGCGCAGAUAUCAGGAGGAACACCGGUGGCGAAGGCGGGUCUCUGGGCCGAUACUGACGCUGAGGAGCGAAAGCGUGGGGAGCGAACAGG
rnacentral:rRNA from 1 species